rnacentral:tRNA from 1 species
GGAGAGGUGGCUGAGUGGUCGAAAGCGGCUUCCUGCUAAGAAGUUAUACGGUCAAAAGCUGUAUCGAGGGUUCGAAUCCCUCCCUCUCCG